UACGAGGGGGGCGAGCGUUGUUCGGAAUUAUUGGGCGUAAAGGGUGCGUAGGCGGCCUGACAAGUCUGAUGUGAAAUCCCCUGGGCUCAACCCAGGGCCUGCAUCGGAAACUGUCGGGCUUGAGUAUGGGAGAGGUGAGUGGAAUUUCCGGUGUAGCGGUGAAAUGCGUAGAUAUCGGAAGGAACACCUGUGGCGAAAGCGGCUCACUGGACCAUUACUGACGCUGAGGCACGAAAGCUAGGGGAGCAAACAGG
rnacentral:rRNA from 1 species